CCUGUGGAUACAGGGCCCACACUGGUUAGGGCACCCCUGGGUUCUGAGGCUGGAACUUCAGCAGGGGCUGGGAGGGGGGGCAAGAGGAGGAGGACAGGUGCAGGAAGGUAAAAACAAGGCCAACAGAAGGGGUGAAGUCCCAAAGGGACCACAGGGACUGCCUUGAGUUGAGGGUUGACUGGGGAGCAGGGAGGAGAGCAAAGGGGCAAGCUGACCGGUGAUGACAUUGAUAUCAGGGUACAGGUCCUCAGAGAGGCAGACAGCUGCACUGUCUCGCUCAAAGGCAUCGCGAAGCUCUUUCUUCACGGCUGCCGAGCCGCACAGACGGUAUAGCCCCACUACCUGGGGGUAGGAGCAGAGAGGUGUCUUUUUUGUCAGAGUGCAGACUGAUGUGAGCCCUAUGGGGUGAGGGCCAGAGGCCUGGAUCCAGGUGGCAAUGGGCUGAGAGGUUGGGGGCUGGCUGAAACGUCACUGGCUGCCUUUCUGUUCUUCUGACACCUGUCAUGGGGGACCCCAUCUGGCUGCUUGGACAACCCAGCCCUGUAAACCCUCCGAAUUACUUGUCCUGGCACCCACCUCCUUUGACUCAGGAAACCUUGAUUCCUUUUCAGCUUACUUGUCACCUCCUCUGGAAAGCCUUCCCUGACUGUCCUAACCAGCAGAUUUCAAGGUUUGGGGUGACUCAACAAACGAAGGGCCAGGAUCAUCUGGAGGCGUGUUCACUUACAGGUCUUGCAGUUGAUGCCAGGUGUGUGCUGGGACUGCCGCAGGAGCUGUGGAGCAAGGGCACCUCCACAAGCCUCUUGCCAACAAAGUUGCAGGUCUGCUGGGCUCUCUUGAUGAUGCGGUGUCUGCACAGGCCCCAGGACAUAUUUGACAAUUGGCCACCUGCAGUCAAACCAAGAGCUGCCCUAGUGCCCAACUUUUAAGGCCUGGGGGUGCUAGUGUGGCCACCAGGGCUUCAUAGGUGCUAGUUGUCCCAGAGGUGGAGGAGGCAACCUGAACAGAGGAGUACACUGGUCAACCCCCUAUGAAGACCUGGGCACGACCACUCAAAAGGAGCUACCCUGGUUGGCAGUACACCACGUGUGUUGUUUACCCAUGAUUCCUAGGAGAAUUAAGCACUGUCUACAUGACACCACAGGGAGUGGACAACUAGAAGCUAGAGCCUGGUCUCUUUUGGACCCUGCCCCAUGUGCCUUUUACCUUUGCUGAUAUUAUUUUUAUUUAAUUUUUUAAAAUUAAUUUUUAUUGGAGUAUGGUUGCUUUGCAAUGUUGUGUUAAUUUCUACUGAAUAGCAAAGUGAA